UGCAGUCGUACGAGAAUUUUUUAUUCAAGUGGCGGACGGGUGAGUAACACGUAAGAAUUUGCCUUUAGGAGGGGGAUAAUAACUGGAAACGGUUACUAAUACCCCAUAUGCUUAUCAAGUGAAAUGGAUUUUUCCGCCUGAAGAGAAGCUUGCGGCUGAUUAGCUUGUUGGUGAGGUAAUAGCUCACCAAGGCGACGAUCAGUAUCUGGUUUGAGAGGAUGAUCAGACACACUGGAACUGAGACACGGUCCAGACUCCUACGGGAGGCAGCAGUGGGGAAUUUUCCGCAAUGGGCGAAAGCCUGACGGAGCAAUCUCGCGUGAGGGAUGACGGCCUAUGGGUUGUAAACCUCUUUUUUCAGGGAGGAACAAAAUGACGUGUACCUGAAGAAUAAGCAUCGGCUAACUCCGUGCCAGCAGCCGCGGUAAGACGGAGGAUGCAAGUGUUAUCCGGAAUCACUGGGCGUAAAGCGUCUGUAGGUGGUUUAGUAAGUCAACUGUUAAAUCUUGAAGCUCAACUUCAAAAUCGCAGUCGAAACUAUUAGACUAGAGUAUAGUAGGGGUAAAAGGAAUUUCCAGUGGAGCGGUGAAAUGCGUAGAGAUUGGAAAGAACACCGAUGGCGAAGCAUUUUACUGGGCUAUUACUGACACUCAGAGACGAAAGCUAGGGUAGCAAAUGGGAUUAGAUACCCCAGUAGUCCUAGCCGUAAACAAUGGAUACUAGAUGUUGAACAGAUCGACCUGUGCAGUAUUAAAGCUAACGCGUUAAGUAUCCCGCCUGGGAAGUAUGCUCGCAGAGUGAAACUC
rnacentral:rRNA from 1 species